AAGUAUUUCUGUCUCUUUUAUAUCAAUAAAAAUUGAAUUAUAGGUGAAGAUGCCUAUAUAUUUUUAAAGGACAAAAAGACCCUAUUGAGCUUUAUUUCUUAUUAAUUAAAAAAGAAAUACCACAAAUUUUUAUUAAAAGGAGAUUCUGUUGGGGCGACAAAGGAACACAAAAAACUUCCAAAAAAAAAAAGAAAACACUUCUAUUCAAUGAUCCUUAAUAGCUAAAGAAACCAGCUACCAUAGGGAUAACAGGCUAAUCAUUUUAAAGAGUUCAUAUUGAUAAAAUGGGUUGGCACCUCGAUGUUGGCUUAGGGUAUCCUAUAAGUGCA
rnacentral:rRNA from 1 species